GCUUAUCACCAUUCCAGAUUGAAUAUACCCGAUCUCGUCUGAUCUCGGAAGUCAAGCAAUCUCGGGCUUGGUUAGUAUUGGAUGGGUGACC
rnacentral:rRNA from 1 species